GGCUGCGAGAGCAAUCUGGCCCUGAUAUUUGUCAUCUCAUUGAUCACCAGGGUUGAUUCAACUGAUCUGGCUGGCUAGGUGGGUCUCCCUUUCUCUGUCUUCCUCCUGAAGCCAUGUGCUUGGAAGAAGACAACAAUCCCAGAUAGCAGGAGUGUAUCCUUUUUUGGUCAAGGGUAUAUGAUGACAGUGCUCUCUUGCUAGACUCUUCAAACAUCCUCGAUAAAUAUUUAAGUAUUUAAUAUGUAACCUAUCUUUCCACCUCCAGUGCCACUCAAGAUAGCUAACU
rnacentral:snRNA from 1 species